rnacentral:rRNA from 1 species
GAUGAACGCUGGCGGCGUGCCUAAUACAUGCAAGUCGAGCGAACGGAUUAAGAGCUUGCUCUUAUGAAGUUAGCGGCGGACGGGUGAGUAACACGUGGGUAACCUGCCCAUAAGACUGGGAUAACUCCGGGAAACCGGGGCUAAUACCGGAUAACAUUUUGAACCGCAUGGUUCGAAAUUGAAAGGCGGCUUCGGCUGUCACUUAUGGAUGGACCCGCGUCGCAUUAGCUAGUUGGUGAGGUAACGGCUCACCAAGGCAACGAUGCGUAGCCGACCUGAGAGGGUGAUCGGCCACACUGGGACUGAGACACGGCCCAGACUCCUACGGGAGGCAGCAGUAGGGAAUCUUCCGCAAUGGACGAAAGUCUGACGGAGCAACGCCGCGUGAGUGAUGAAGGCUUUCGGGUCGUAAAACUCUGUUGUUAGGGAAGAACAAGUGCUAGUUGAAUAAGCUGGCACCUUGACGGUACCUAACCAAAAAGCACCGGCUAACUACGUGCCAGCCGCCGCCGUAA